AGGACGAACGCUGGCGGCGUGCUUAACACAUGCAAGUCGAACGGAAAGGCCCUUUCGGGGGUACUCGAGUGGCGAACGGGUGAGUAACACGUGGGUGAUCUGCCCUGCACUUUGGGAUAAGCCUGGGAAACUGGGUCUAAUACCGAAUACACCCUGCUGGUCGCAUGGCCCGGUGGGGGAAAGCUUUUGCGGUGUGGGAUGGGCCCGCGGCCUAUCAGCUUGUUGGUGGGGUGAUGGCCUACCAAGGCGACGACGGGUA
rnacentral:rRNA from 1 species